UACGUAGGGGGCGAGCGUUGUCCGGAAUCAUUGGGCGUAAAGCGCGUGUAGGCGGCUUGGUAAGUCCGGUGUGAAACCUUGGGGCUCAACCCCAAGCCUGCACUGGAUACUGCCUCGCUUGAGUCCGGGAGGGGAGAGCGGAAUUCCUAGUGUAGCGGUGAAAUGCGCAGAUAUUAGGAGGAACACCGGUGGCGAAGGCGGCUCUCUGGAACGGUACUGACGCUGAGACGCGAAAGCAUGGGGAGCGAACAGG
rnacentral:rRNA from 1 species